ACCGGCGGCCCGAGUGGUGAUCGUGAUUAUUGGGUCUAAAGGGUCCGUAGCCGGUUUGGUCAGUCCUCCGGGAAAUCUGAUAGCUCAACUAUUAGGCUUUCGGGGGAUACUGCCAGACUUGGAACCGGGAGAGGUAAGAGGUACUACAGGGGUAGGAGUGAAAUCUUGUAAUCCCUGUGGGACCACCUGUGGCGAAGGCGUCUUACCAGAACGGGUUCGACGGUGAGGGACGAAAGCUGGGGGCACGAACCGGAUUAGAUACUCGGGUAGUCCCAGCCGUAAACGAUGCUCGCUAGGUGUCAGGCAUGGCGCGACCGUGUCUGGUGCCGCAGGGAAGCCGUGAAGCGAGCCACCUGGGAAGUACGGCCGCAAGGCUGAAACUUAAAGGAAUUGGCGGGGGAGCACAACAACGGGUGGAGCCUGCGGUUUAAUUGGACUCAACGCCGGACAACUCACCGGGGGCGACAGCAAUAUGUAGGCCAAGCUGAAGACUUUGCCUGAAUCGCUGAGAGGAGGUGCAUGG
rnacentral:rRNA from 1 species